CGCAAUAGCUCAACCAAGAACAGCGGAGCGUCACUCGUUUAGAAACAUCGCGCUACUUUUGUUUUGUUUGUUUUUUAAUAGUUACAAACUUACCGUGCCUGUAAACAAAGCUUGUCUACCUCUCCUAAUUCUCGCUCUGCCGUUUCUCAUCCGCUACCUCAGCGUGAGGAGGGGGUGACUAUCACGAGGAAAGCGACGAAGGCUGGCCCUAAUAUGUGACGUAAAACAUCCCACCGCUGGGAUGAAAGCAGCGGACCGAUUCCGCCCCUGUCCUGUAGUCAGAAAGUGGCUCCUCAGCCUGUUUGUCCUCCUGCUUGGGGACAUCCAGGCGGUCUAUGAAGCUCUGCAGCUCCUUCCUGAAGGCUUUCAUCUGGGCGUUGAUACGAUACAGCAGCUCAUGCUCUCUGAUCCUGUGGAAGAACAAGUUUGGACUUUCAAAUCAGGCAAAUAGCAGGAGAUUAUAACAAUGUAGUGAUCACACAAAACUGUGAUAGUUUUUUCAUGUAACAAUUACCUGCCACUUUCUUCAUCCUCAUCCAACCUAGCAAACAGCUCCCCAUU